rnacentral:lncRNA from 1 species
UUGUCGCCCUCACCCAGCUGCUGCGGCGGAGAGACGGAGGCCAGCGCGGGGAGCGGAAGCCGGAGCCUGUCGGGAGCGACCCCGGGAAGGCCAGUCCCUCCUGCCGGAGGGAGGCGUGUUGGCGUGCGGCCGGUGGCGGGAUCGAUGGCCACCUGGUAGGCGAUGGUAAGCGGCAGUGGCCUGCGCCAAGGUAGCCCCCGGGGGGCGGUGUGUGGCGCCCGGACCCGCACCCUCUGCUCCCGGGGGUGGAGCUGACCUGCUUGCCCGCGGUUGGGCUCGGGAGCCUGCGGGCCGCGGCCAGGAGGGAGCUGGCUGGCCGUCCCGGCGGUGGGGGCUGUGGCGGUGGCCGUCCCGCGGGUGUGCCCGUGCUCGGAUCGAUGAUGACACCCACAAACGCAUUCCUUGGAAAAUCUGAACAAAAUGAGUGAGAACUCACUACCGUCUCCUCAUCGCAAACUGAGGUCCGGCACGUGGCUCCCACAGGGGACGUCGGGGGAGGGUCCCGUUGCCUUGGCUCCCUUGGCUGCUGCGGCGGAGAGACGGAGGCCAGCGCGGGGAGCGGAAGCCGGAGCCUGUCGGGAGCGACCCCGGGAAGGCCAGUCCCUCCUGCCGGAGGGAGGCGUGUUGGCGUGCGGCCGGUGGCGGGAUCGAUGGCCACCUGGUAGGCGAUGGUAAGCGGCAGUGGCCUGCGCCAAGGUAGCCCCCGGGGGGCGGUGUGUGGCGCCCGGACCCGCACCCUCUGCUCCCGGGGGUGGAGCUGACCUGCUUGCCCGCGGUUGGGCUCGGGAGCCUGCGGGCCGCGGCCAGGAGGGAGCUGGCUGGCCGUCCCGGCGGUGGGGGCUGUGGCGGUGGCCGUCCCGCGGGUGUGCCCGUGCUCGGAUCGAUGAUGACACCCACAAACGCAUUCCUUGGAAAAUCUGAACAAAAUGAGUGAGAACUCACUACCGUCUCCUCAUCGCAAACUGAGGUCCGGCACGUGGCUCCCACAGGGGACGUCGGGGGAGGGUCCCGUUGCCUUGGCUCCCUUGGGUGCGUGCAGCCCUGGGGCGCAGGUGGGGCAGGCAGGCCUCCGGUGGCCGGGAGGGCCAU